rnacentral:rRNA from 1 species
AACGAACGCUGGCGGCAUGCCUAACACAUGCAAGUCGAACGAGACCUUCGGGUCUAGUGGCGCACGGGUGCGUAACGCGUGGGAACCUGCCCUUAGGUUCGGAAUAACUCCCCGAAAGGGGUGCUAAUACCGGAUAAUGUCUUCGGACCAAAGAUUUAUCGCCUUUGGAUGGGCCCGCGUUGGAUUAGCUAGUUGGUAGGGUAAAAGCCUACCAAGGCGACGAUCCAUAGCUGGUCUGAGAGGAUGGUCAGCCACACUGGGACUGGGACACGGCCCAGACUCCUACGGGAGGCAGCAGUGGGGAAUAUUGGACAAUGGGCGAAAGCCUGAUCCAGCAAUGCCGCGUAAGUGAUGAAGGCCUUAGGGUUGUAAAGCUCUUUUACCCGGGAUGAUAAUGACAGUACCGGGAGAAUAAGCUCCGGCUAACUCCGUG